UACGGGGGGGGCAAGCGUUGUUCGGAAUUACUGGGCGUAAAGGGCUCGUAGGCGGCCAACUAAGUCAGACGUGAAAUCCCUCGGCUUAACCGGGGAACUGCGUCUGAUACUGGAUGGCUUGAGUUUGGGAGAGGGAUGCGGAAUUCCAGGUGUAGCGGUGAAAUGCGUAGAUAAUCUGGAGGAACACCGGUGGCGAAGGCGGCAUCCUGGACCAACACUGACGCUGAGGAGCGAAAGCCAGGGGGAGCAAAACGGG
rnacentral:rRNA from 1 species